ACUGAGUCGCGACAUUCAACAAACCGACCAGACUGAGGUUAGAAGCAGGAAGCAUAGUGAAGCUGUGUAAUUGGAGAUCACUUAUCGUGGAGGAGGCCUCCUCAGCACCGGGCCAGUGGCGCAAUGGAUAACGCGUCUGACUACGGAUCAGAAGAUUCUAGGUUCGACUCCUGGCUGGCUCGACGUGUGCGAUCUUUUUCCUGAACCUUGGAAGGCCUGCUUGAAAAGGAUCAUAGCUAGAUUGUCAAGGUCAAAUGUCUUACGUUUUAAUGUUGCUUUGCGAAAAAAUAAUACCUUCUUGGCUGUAUUUGAAACCCGGAGUUACCUAAAACGGUUUGCAAGUUUCCUAGCUCCCCUGUUCUUAAAAUUGCGCAGGAGUCUGGAAAUGUACUCUUACGAAAACACUCUUGAGAGUGGAGGUUUGCAAUCAGGGACAGGGACAUGCGUGGCCAAUGUCUUCCCACCCGAUGACGGAAAAAUCUCACCGAAAGCUCCUAGCUGGUAGAACACAGACGGCACUGACAUGAGAAGGGCGUAGCUUCUGCUCUUCAUGAUUGGUACAGCGGCCUUGGCUAGCUCCGCUUGCAAAGCCGACCUAGCCUCCACUGCACAAGGAAACCUUAAAAAUUCGGGGAUUUCGCAGUAAGAGGCCCAGAAAAACGAGUACAUGAACAUUUUACGUAAGACCUGAGAUAGCCAGAAACAGAUGUGACGAAGGUGGAUCGGGAGCAGGGCUCAGCCUAUUCAUUAACCAGUCACUCCAUGAUUAAGUUGUCCUAGAAAACAUACCCCACUCCCCAGGAGUUUAUUAAAACUGUAUCAGAUAAAGGAAAUUAUUGGGGCAGAAUUAGACCAAGGACCAAGGGGUGUGGCUCACUCCUGCAGUCCAUACUGCUGGAUAUAGACCAGGCCAAAUGGCUGCCUUUGCUUUCCAGAGUACUGGAAUUUAAGGUACAAGAUACCAUACCAGGCUUCUACACUUCUGAGGAUUUAGUUUGCUUUUAAUGAAGUUAUAGUGGGUUGUUUCUCGAGACCGGGUUUCCCUGUGUAGUUUUGACUGUCCUGGAACUUGCUCUGUAACCAGGCUGGCCUCCAACUCAGAGAUCCCUGCCUCUGCCUCCUGAAUACUGGUGUAAAAGCACGCACCACUACUGCCCAGCUAACAGUAUUUUUUGUUUGCUCUUUAAUUUUUUGUCUGAGAUUUGAGAUCAUUAAUAUGCAUUGUUGUCAGUUUUAGCACUUAAAAAAAAUGAGGGUUUUUUUUUUUUGUUUUGUUGUGUGUUUUGUUUUGAAGGGUGUGUGUGAUGUGUGUACGUGCAGAGGGGGGAGGGGAAGAGAAAGAGAGACUGACUGAGGCUGUCUUAUAUAAGACAGUGGGCCUUUACUUGGCUAUGGAAAUGGACUUGGAACUCUGAUUCAAGCUCCCAAGGUGCUGAGGUUAUAAGCAAGCACCACCAACCACACCUGGUUUAAGAGUUCUUGCUUUAAGAUGUUCUAUUUGGGUGGAUAAGUGGACACUUUAAAGGUCCAUCUCAUAGGCAUUUAGAUUUUUGGUACAUAUUUUCAAAUUGCUCUGUGGAAAAAUUAAAACAAUAUACCCUCUGUCACCAGAAUGUUUCCACACAUGCUAAUCAACAUUAGAUAUUUAUGAAUACAUAUAACAUAUAAAUUAGAUAUCCAAGUCUCAUGUACUAGCAUAUACCUAAAAUUCUAGAAUUUGAGACAGAGAGGUGUUGAUCUGGAGACCUUAUCUUUAAAAAAAAUAAAGCAUCCACAUACAAAUAUAAA
rnacentral:lncRNA from 1 species